UCUUCUUUGUUCUGCUUUGUUGCCUCAUGGC
rnacentral:piRNA from 1 species